UGGGGAAUAUUGCACAAUGGGCGCAAGCCUGAUGCAGCCAUGCCGCGUGUGUGAAGAAGGCCUUCGGGUUGUAAAGCACUUUCAGCGAGGAGGAAGGUGGUGAACUUAAUACGUUCAUCAAUUGACGUUACUCGCAGAAGAAGCACCGGCUAACUCCGUGCCAGCAGCCGCGGUAAUACGGAGGGUGCAAGCGUUAAUCGGAAUUACUGGGCGUAAAGCGCACGCAGGCGGUUUGUUAAGUCAGAUGUGAAAUCCCCGGGCUCAACCUGGGAACUGCAUUUGAAACUGGCAAGCUAGAGUCUCGUAGAGGGGGGUAGAAUUCCAGGUGGUAGCGGUGAAAUGCGUAGAGAUCUGGAAGGAAUACCGGUGGCGAAGGCGGCCCCCUGGACGAAGACUGACGCUCAGGUGCGAAAGCGUGGGAGCAAACAGGAUUAGAUACCCUGGUAGUCCACGCUGUAAACGAUGUCGAUUUUGGAGGUUGUGCCCUUGAGGCGUGGCUUCCGGAGCUAACGCGUUAAAUCGACCGCCUGGGGAGUACGGCCGCAAGGUUAAAACUUAAAUGAAUUGA
rnacentral:rRNA from 1 species